UACGUAGGGUGCGAGCGUUGUCCGGAAUUACUGGGCGUAAAGAGCUCGUAGGUGGUUUGUCGCGUUGUUCGUGAAAACUCACAGCUCAACUGUGGGCGUGCGGGCGAUACGGGCAGACUGGAGUACUGCAGGGGAGACUGGAAUUCCUGGUGUAGCGGUGGAAUGCGCAGAUAUCAGGAGGAACACCGGCGGCGAAGGCGGGUCUCUGGGCAGUAACUGACGCUGAGGAGCGAAAGCGUGGGGAGCGAACAGA
rnacentral:rRNA from 1 species